GACGAACGCUGGCGGCGUGCCUAAUACAUGCAAGUUGAGCGAUGAAGAUUGGUGCUUGCACCAAUUUGAAGAGCAGCGAACGGGUGAGUAACGCGUGGGGAAUCUGCCUUUGAGCGGGGGACAACUUUUGGAAACGAAUGCUAAUACCGCAUAAUAACUUUAAACAUAAGUUUUAAGUUUGAAAGAUGCAAUUGCAUCACUCAAAGAUGAUCCCGCGUUGUAUUAGCUAGUUGGUGAGGUAAAGGCUCAACAAGGCGAUGAUUCAUAGCCGACCUGAGAGGGUGAGUGGGCAAAUUGGGAAUGAGACAAGGCCCAAACUCCUACGGGAGGGAGCAGGAGGGAAACUUCGGGAAAGGACGAAAGGCGGGACGAGGAACGCCGGGGGAAGGAAGAAGGGUUUCGGAUCGGAAAAAUCUGUUGGUAGGGAAGAAAGAUGGUGGGAGUGGAAAGCGCAUCAAGUGACGGUAACUACUCAGAAAGGGACGGCUAACUACGUG
rnacentral:rRNA from 1 species